GCUUACGGCCAUACCACCCUGAAUGCGCCCGAUCUCGUCUGAUCUCAGAGGCUAAGCAGGGUCAGGCCUGGUUAGUACUUGGAUGGGUGACCGCCUGGGAAUACCAUGUGCUGUAAGCU
rnacentral:rRNA from 1 species